rnacentral:rRNA from 1 species
GAUGAACGCUGGCGGCGUGCCUAAUACAUGCAAGUCGAGCGAACAGACGAGGAGCUUGCUCCUCUGACGUUAGCGGCGGACGGGUGAGUAACACGUGGAUAACCUACCUAUAAGACUGGGAUAACUUCGGGAAACCGGAGCUAAUACCGGAUAAUAUAUUGAACCGCAGGGUUCAUUGGUAAAAGACGGUUUUGCUGUCACUACUAGUGGGUUCCGCGCCGCAUUAGCUAGUUGGUAAGGUAACGGCUUACCAAGGCAACGAUGCGUAGCCGACCUGAGAGGGUGAUCGGCCACACUGGAACUGAGACACGGUCCAGACUCCUACGGGAGGCAGCAGUAGGGAAUCUUCCGCAAUGGGCGAAAGCCUGACGGAGCAACGCCGCGUGAGUGAUGAAGGUCUUCGGAUCGUAAAACUCUGUUAUUAGGGAAGAACAAAUGUGUAAGUAACUAUGCACGUCUUGACGGUACCUAAUCAGAAAGCCACGGCUAACUACGUG